rnacentral:rRNA from 1 species
AUGGUGGGUCUUUCUCCUGACGAGUGGCUCUCCUGUUAUGACCUGGAAGACCAGCUCUCCGUUAUUUACACUGAUGAGGAGGCCUAUUGGCGCCUCCGUGGGGUCCAGAAUUGAAUCUUGAAGGGCGACGCAAAUACGGCCUACUUCUAGGCCAUCGCCAACGGCCGCCGUAGACGCAACACCAUCCCUCUCUUGUGGGAUGGUGAGACGCUCCUUCAAGACCCCCGAGACAUCUCCCACGUUGACGGGCUCUAUAGAUCCUUAUUCUCUGCCGCCCCUAGAAGAGGCCUCUCCCUGUCCCCCGAUUGUUGGUCUAGGCCCCAGUUGGUUUCUGAUUCGAAGAACACCGCCCUUACGGCCCCCUUUUCCGAGCUUGAGGUCUGGGAUGCCAUCAAGGGCAUGAACCCAUCUUCGGCUCCGGGACCGGAAGGCCUCCCGGUUAAUUUUUUCCAGACCUUCCGAAACGUUAUUAAACCGGAGGUCAUGGCCAUCUUCGACCUGACAUUAGUUUUGGCCUCUUAA